rnacentral:rRNA from 1 species
AACGAACGCUGGUGGCGUGCUUAACACAUGCAAGUCGAACGAGAAAGUUUCCUUCGGGAAACUAGAAAAGUGGCGCAAGGGUGAGUAACACGUGAAUAAUCUGCCCCCGAGAUCGGGAUAACAUGGUGAAAACUAUGCUAAUACCGGAUAAGACCACAUUUCAAAAGAAAUGCGGGAAAAGGAGUCUCAAUCUCCACUCGAGGAUGAGUUCGCGCAACAUUAGCUUGUUGGUGAGAUAAAAGCUCACCAAGGCUACGAUGUUUAGCCGGCCUGAGAGGGUGAACGGCCACACUGGAACUGAGACACGGUCCAGACUCCUACGGAGGCAGCAGUGGGGAUAUUGCGCAAUGGGCGAAAGCCUGACGCAGCAACGCCGUGUGAGCGAUG